CGACCCCAUGUCAGGCGGGACUACCCGCUGAGUUUAAGCAUAUAAAUAAGCGAACCGGGAGUAGCCCAGCUUGAGAAUCGGGCGGCUGUGCCGUCCAAAUUGUAGUCUGGAUAGGCGUCCUCAGCGACGGACAGGGCCCAAGUCCCCUGGAAAGGGGCGCCUGGGAGGGUGAGAGCGCCGUCCGGCCCGGACCCUAUCGCCCCACGAGGCGCCGUCAACGAGUCGGGUUGUUUGGGAAUGCAGCCCAAAUCGGGCGGUAGACUCCGUCCAAGGCUAAAUACAGGCGAGAGACCGAUAGCAAACAAGUACCGCGAGGGAAAGAUGAAAAGGACUUUGAAAAGUGAGUCAAAGAGUGCUUGAAAUUGCCGGGAGGGAGGCGGAUGGGGGCCGGCGAUGCGCCCCGGCCGUAUGCGGAACGGCUCUUGCUGGUCCGCCGCUCGGCUCGGGGUGUGGACUGUUGUCGGCGGCGCCGGCGGCCAAAGCCCGGGGGCCCUAGGUGCCCCCGGUGGCCGUCAUCGGCAAGGCCGGUACCCGCGCGCCGAAAGGCGUGUCCCUCGGGGCACUGCGCUGCAACGGCCUGCGGGCUCCCCAUCCGCCCCGUCUUGAAACACGGACCAAGGAGUCUGACAUGCGUGCGAG
rnacentral:ncRNA from 1 species